GACGAACGCUGGCGGCGUGCCUAAUACAUGCCAGUAGAACGCUGAAGAGAGGAGCUUGCUCUUCGUGGAUGAGUUGCGCACGGGUGAGUAGCGCGUAGGUAACCUGCCUUGUAGCGGGGGAUAACUAUUGGGAACGAUAGCUAAUCCCGCAUAACAAUGGAUGACACAUGUCAUUUAUUUGAAAGGGGCAAUUGCUCCACUACAAGAUGGACCUGCGUUGUAUUAGCUAGUAGGUGAGGUAAGGGCUCACCUAGGCGACGAUACAUAGCCGACCUGAGAGGGUGAUCGGCCACACUGGGACUGAGACACGGCCCAGACUCCUACGGGAGGCAGCAGUAGGGAAUCUUCGGCAAUGGGGGCAAGCCUGACCGAGCAACGCCGCGUGAGUGAAGAAGGGUUUCGGAUCGUAAAGCUCUGUUGUAAGUCAAGAACGGGUGUGAGAGUGGAAAGUUCACACUGUGACGGUAGCUUACCAGAAAGGGACGGCUAACUACGUG
rnacentral:rRNA from 1 species